ensembl:lncRNA
GUCCAAAUGGUGCUGUCUGGCAGUGCUCCUCUCCUGCUGACACUGGGAUGGGAGGACAUGAUGGCCAUGGGAAACCAGAGGGCUGUGAGUGAUGGCUUCUGCAAAAGUGCCUCGGAUGGUGGGGAUUAUCUUGGCAGACAAAAGGAAAUCUGGUUACAGUGUGAUCCAGGGAGAUGAGAGGAAGAAAGGGAUCUGUGUGCUUAGAUCGGGCACUUGGACUUCUCAGAGAAACAGGAAAGACUGAUUGAUUGGGGUUUUCUGCUGUGAUACGUGCUAUGUCAUCAACUGCGUUUGUCUUUCAUGGCUAUUGAAAUUUGCAGUAAGAAAAUGUUGUACACCAGUCCUAUGCUCUCCAAAAUCAGACGUGGCUCCUUCAGUGUGUCCCAUGCUGUUGCCUGCCUUGCAGGGACCGUUCCCUGGUGUCGUGGUCCUGGGCUGCUCCUGCUCCCCUUGGGCUGCAGCUGCCCUGCUCGGAGGGUUCUACAGUGACAGGCUGUGCUCCUGGGGAGGACGAGACCCAGAAACCAACUCCUCAGAGUCACACUUCUGUCAUCUCACCUGUCUGCAGCUUCUGCGAGACAUGACUUCAGCUUUCCCUCCGUACAGGUCACCUACCUAUGGACCCAGGCUUCUCCAGUGCACAAGAAAACACAUCAACACAAAUAGAAAAUGCGGCUUUCACCUUCCCACAGAGCUGGUGGUGCAGCACAGAAACUGCUCUCACAGGCGUGUUGGGAUAUUUUCUGCUGGGAAUAUUUUGUUCCAAGCCACACGAGAGUGCUCCACUGAAGAACAAAUCAUGCUAUUAGAUUUGCACUUUAAUCUUCCCUUUGGGAACACAGAGCUUCCUAAUGUAAUCUUGAUGGAGCUGCAAGUUUGGGAGCAUCCAGGUGACGGACAGGCAUGCUGAGGAGGGCUGUGCUCAUGGAUUGCAUUGCACUGCAGUGAAAGCAGCAGCUCGCAUGGCUCAAAGCCUGCACUGGGGCACAGCCAGCCAUGCUGCAGGGACAUCCAUGGGCUGGACACCACAGAGUGCAACCACAGAGGUUGAAGUGAAGUAUUGCUGCCCUCUUCUCCCAAAAAUGCCCCUGUCAGUGUUGACACCUUGGACAGCAGGAAGACAAAAAUUCACGAAGUGAAUGAUCAAAGAGCCCUAAGGGCUGAUGAGUCAGUGCUGUGAUGAAACCAAAUGUUACAGAUCAAGGCACCCGUCAGAAAGCCUUGUUCAGGGAAAGCAGCUGUCAGCACUUCACUUGUCUGCUUGCCGUGCAGAUGCUAAACCCAAGUGACAGCACC